GACUUAGCCCACUGGUCGAAUAGAAUUUUUUUUCUCCUUUGAACACGUGCGCGGAUGAAACAUAAAAACUCGUUUCAUUGUUGUAGAAAAUGAAAAAAAAAUAAAUAACCUAACCGCCACCGGUGUGCGAUGUCGUCGUACAACUAUAUUAUAUACUUCACGAACAUUUUAUACGCGACUAGUUAUUAGAAAUAUCUAUAUUGGUACCUGGUAUAGUAUACACGGUAUAACCUAGUGUCGAGAUAACUACAUAACGACUUAAUUAUUUGGACCGCGAGGCUGUAUUGUUCGGGCUAGCAAUAAAUUCAGAUACACACGUACAAACACGUACACUUCCCAAUCCGGUUAUCGUUCGUCCAUCGUGCAUAUUUUGUAUAUGUAUGUAUGUGUAAUAAUUAGUCGUCCGUCGGUCGGUGUGUGUGUGUGUGUUCACCUCCUAACCUACACAUACGUAUUAUUAUAAUACGCGCGAGUAUAUACUGUGUACUGGGUAUUGAGUUAUUGCACCGCGAUCGGAUGUGCACAAUGCCACAACACACAUACGAACGUACAACCAUAUAUAUUAUGAAUGAUGUGUUUUAUUUUACAGAACGUUUCCGGCCGUCAGUACGCGUACCUCAUAUUAUAAUAAUAUAUACGCGAAGCGCACGUGUAUAGGGAAGACGAUGCGAAUUAAAUGAAGUAUUUUUGGAUUGUCGAGAGCAAUUAAUUCUAUCGAUAUUCGAGAGCAUAUCAUUCCAGAUAUGUAAGUGCUCCGAGCAGAAGAUAAUGAAGUGCAGUGCUCGUAUAGAGAUCGGAGAGAAUACUAGGGAAAAUUACAGAUUGAAAAUCAGACUCAUAAUGGCUCAGAGUUCAAUCUUGACAACGAUGGAUGGACAGAGCGAAAUAAGAUAAUAGGAAUGGAAAAUGCGGAAACCCAUUUAAAAGAAGCAGAGAGAAAAUUGGUUAUUGCAGCGAUAAGCUAUAAUCUUAAUUAGAUAGAAAAAAAUGAAGAAAAUAUAGAUGUAUUAUUCUUUUAAUUUAAGCAUCGAUAGAUUUAUUAUUUAAA